rnacentral:rRNA from 1 species
CCUACGGGUGGCAGCAGCGAGGAAUAUUGGUCAAUGGCCGGAAGGCUGAACCAGCCAUGCCGCGUGAAGGUCAGUGCCCUAUGGGCGUUAAACUUCUUUUGUGCGGGAGCAAUAAUGGUCACGUGUGGCCAGACGAGAGUACCGUACGAAUAAGCAUCGGCUAACUCCGUGCCAGCAGCCGCGGUAAUACGGGGGAUGCAAGCGUUAUCCGGAUUUAUUGGGGUUAAAGGGUGCGUAGGCUGUGAGGUAAGUCAGCGGUGAAAUGCCCCCGCUCAACGGGGUGAAGUGCCAUUGAUACUGCCUUGCUGGAAUGCGGAUGCCGUGGGAGGAAUGUGUGGUGUAGCGGUGAAAUGCAUAGAUAUCACACAGAACACCGAUUGCGAAGGCAUCUCACGAAUCCGCGAUUGACGCUGAUGCACGAAAGUGUGGGUAUCAAACAGGAUUAGAUACCCCAGUAGUC